UGAUGAACAAGAUACGAUGUUUAUGGCAGCUGCUUCUCCCAUUGGGUUAACGGGCCAUGGAUGCAGCGCUACCUCACAGUUGCCUUGUGGACAGGGCAUGACAGAGAUUUAUGCAGAGCAGGAAAGGGUUGUUCUAACAAAGUUUCGGGAUUGCCUUAAUAGGCUCAUAACAUUUGGAGAAAUAAAAGAAACCAAGUGUUCAUCAUUAGCAAGAACUGAACUGGGGAAUCAAAGAGAUCAAUUAAGCAAUGGCACAAUGAAUUCCAGAGCUGAAUUGGGAAAUCAACAGGGACCUUAUAGCAAUGGUGUUUCCAAACAUUUUAUUCCACCUACGUCCAAGACAGCGCCAAUAGUUACUUCUAUGGUUGCCACCUCCAGUAACGAUCUUCCAAAAGUUCCAGCCCUCCCACAAAAUGAGGACAACAAACCAAUGACUUGAAAAGAGAUUGUAAAGAGAUUUUAUCUCUAAAGGCUGGCCCAAGCCCCAAGGUAUGCUUAUGAAUGAUCAAUGAUAAUUCUGGCUUUGUCCUUAAUGCAAUCCUAAGGUGGCACUGGGCCCCAUUGUUGGCACUGACUAGGAUCUGAUUUAUUCCUCAUGUCAUCAAUAUAUUUACGCAUCAGUCUUUCUGCUUCAGCCACAA
rnacentral:misc_RNA from 1 species